rnacentral:rRNA from 1 species
GUACCCAACAAGGAAGUGACGGCUAACUACGUGCCAGCAGCCGCGGUAAAACGUAGGUCACAAGCGUUGUCCGGAAUUACUGGGUGUAGAGGGAGCGCAGGCGGGAAGACAAGUUGGAAGUGAAAUCUAUGGGCUCAACCUAUAAACUGCUUUCAAAACUGUUUUUCUUGAGUAGUGCAGAGGUAGGCGGAAUUCCCGGUGUAGCGGUGGAAUGCGUAGAUAUCGGGAGGAACACCAGUGGCGAAGGCGGCCUACUGGGCACCAACUGACGCUGAGGCUCGAAAGUGUGGGUAGCAAACAGGAUUAGAUACCCUGGUAGUCCACACCGUAAACGAUGAUUACUAGGUGUUGGAGGAUUGACCCCUUCAGUGCCGCAGUUAACACAAUAAGUAAUCCACCUGGGGA